CAUUAAGUCAUAGCAGAAAGUAAUUUUGAAAAUCAAAAGACAGGAAGUUUGACGAAUACUGCUAAGAACAUUAGUUUAAGGUCUCCUAUUUCGCACAACUACAAGCUCUUUGAAAGCAAAUAUCACUCUACCACCAUCAAAUAUAUCCUUAGUUUGAUCACAACACCAAAUCGGUAGCUGAGUGCUGGAAAAAGGAUUUAAGAUAACCAUCAUUAAAGCAGGAGAAGCUAAUGACUAUUUGACCUUUACAGAGCAAGCCAGAUUCUACUGCUGCUGAUUCUGCUGGUGAGGUGCAUUUGGAGGAGGUGGCAUUCCUGGGCGAGGAGGUCCAAAGACUGGAACUUGCCCACCAGGAGGUGGUGGAGGCAUCCCCGGAUGAGGUGGUCCACCAGGCAUUCCCGG
rnacentral:misc_RNA from 1 species